GAUGAACGCUAGCGGGAGGCCUAACACAUGCAAGCCGAGCGGUAUUGUUUCUUCGGAAAUGAGAGAGCGGCGUACGGGUGCGUAACACGUGUGCAACCUGCCUUUAUCUGGGGGAUAGCCUUUCGAAAGGAAGAUUAAUACUCCAUAAUAUAUUGAACGGCAUCGUUUAAUAUUGAAAGCUCCGGCGGAUAGAGAUGGGCACGCGCAAGAUUAGCUAGUUGGUGAGGUAACGGCUCACCAAGGCGAUGAUCUUUAGGGGGCCUGAGAGGGUGAUCCCCCACACUGGUACUGAGACACGGACCAGACUCCUACGGGAGGCAGCAGUGAGGAAUAUUGGUCAAUGGGUGCAAGCCUGAACCAGCCAUCCCGCGUGAAGGACGACCGCCCUAUGGGUUGUAAACUUCUUUUGUAUAGGGAUAAACCUACCCUCGUGAGGGUAGCUGAAGGUACUAUACGAAUAAGCACCGGCUAACUCCGCGCCAGCCGCCGCAGUAA
rnacentral:rRNA from 1 species